rnacentral:rRNA from 1 species
UACAGAGGUCUCAAGCGUUGUUCGGAUUCAUUGGGCGUAAAGGGUGCGUAGGCGGCGCGGUAAGUCGGGUGUGAAAUCUCGGAGCUUAACUCCGAAACUGCAUUCGAUACUGCCGUGCUUGAGGACUGGAGAGGAGACUGGAAUUUACGGUGUAGCGGUGAAAUGCGUAGAUAUCGUAAGGAAGACCAGUGGCGAAGGCGGGUCUCUGGGCAUUAACUGACGCUGAGGAGCGAAAGCAUGGGGAGCGAACAGG